CUACGGGAGGCUGCAGUAGGGAAUCUUAGACAAUGGGGGAAACCCUGAUCUAGCCAUGCCGCGUGAGUGAUGAAGGCCUUAGGGUUGUAAAGCUCUUUCGCUGGGGAAGAUAAUGACGGUACCCAGUAAAGAAACCCCGGCUAACUCCGUGCCAGCAGCCGCAGUAAUACGGAGGGGGUUAGCGUUGUUCGGAAUUACUGGGCGUAAAGCGCGCGUAGGCGGGCUAUUAAGUCAGGGGUGAAAUCCCGGGGCUCAACCCCGGAACUGCCUUUGAUACUGGUAGUCUUGAGUUCGAGAGAGGUGAGUGGAAUUCCGAGUGUAGAGGUGAAAUUCGUAGAUAUUCGGAGGAACAUCAGUGGCGAAGGCGACUCACUGGCUCGAUACUGACGCUGAGGUGCGAAAGUGUGGGGAGCAAACAGGAUUAGAUACCCCAGUAGUC
rnacentral:rRNA from 1 species